AUUUUUAUCUGGUGCCGGGGCCUCGUUGAUCACCGAGGAAGAGCCCCCAGUGCGAGGCACGGGCAUUUCACUGCGCUCGCGUUGACCCCUCCCACUACCUCAAAGUGGGGCUGAUGGGGCACAGAAAUUGCUAAAUCCGGUUCGACGCAAGAAAGGGAAUCACCGC
rnacentral:snRNA from 1 species